rnacentral:rRNA from 1 species
GCGUAAGCGCACGCAGGCGGUCUGUCAAGUCGGAUGUGAAAUCCCCGGGCUCAACCUGGGAACUGCAUUCGAAACUGGCAGGCUAGAGUCUUGUAGAGGGGGGUAGAAUUCCAGGUGUAGCGGUGAAAUGCGUAGAGAUCUGGAGGAAUACCGGUGGCGAAGGCGGCCCCCUGGACAAAGACUGACGCUCAGGUGCGAAAGCGUGGGGAGCAAACAGGAUUAGAUACCCUGGUAGUCCACGCCGUAAACGAUGUCGACUUGGAGGUUGUGCCCUUGAGGCGUGGCUUCCGGAGCUAACGCGUUAAGUCGACCGCCUGGGGAGUACGGCCGCAAGGUUAAAACUCAAAUGAAUUGACGGGGGCCCGCACAAGCGGUGGAGCAUGUGGUUUAAUUCGAUGCAACGCGAAGAACCUUACCUACUCUUGACAUCCAGAGAACUUUCCAGAGAUGGAUUGGUGCCUUCGGGAACUCUGAGACAGGUGCUGCAUGGCUGUCGUCAGCUCGUGUUGUGAAAUGUUGGGUUAAGUCCCGCAACGAGCGCAACCCUUAUCGUUUGUUGCCAGCGGUUAGGCCGGGGAC